CGGGUAUCGACCCCUGCAGUGCCAUAGCUAACGCGAUAAGUAUCCCGCCUGGGGAGUACGCACGCAAGUGUGAAACUCAAAGGAAUUGACGGGGACCCGCACAAGCGGUGGAACAUGUGGUUUAAUUCGAAGCAACGCGAAGAACCUUACCAGGGCUUGACAUCUAACAAACUUCUGUGAAAGCAGAAGGUGCUCUUCGGAGAAUGUUAAGACAGGUGGUGCACGGUUGUCGUCAGCUCGUGUCGUGAGAUGUUGGGUUAAGUCCCGCAACGAGCGCAACCCUCGUCGUUAGUUGCAUGUAGCGGUAUACUGCUACAGUGCUCUCUAGCGAGACUGCCGGUGAUAAACCGGAGGAAGGUGAGGACGACGUCAAAUCAUCAUGCCCCUUAUGCUCUGGGCUACACACGUGUUACAAUGGUCGGUACAACGAGUCGCCAACUCGCAAGAGUGAGCAAAUCUCUUAAAACCGAUCUCAGUUCGGAUUGGAGUCUGUAACUCGACUCCAUGAAGUCGGAAUCGCUAGUAAACGCAGAUCAGCACGCUGCGUUGAAUACGUUCCCGGGUCUUGUACACACCGCCCGUCACACCAUGGAAGUCGACCACGCCCGAAGUACGUGAGCUAACCUUUUGGAAGCAGCGUCCUAAGGCAGGGUUGGUGACUGGGGUGAAGUCGUAACAAGGUAGCCG
rnacentral:rRNA from 1 species